rnacentral:rRNA from 1 species
UACGGGGGGGCAAGCGUUGUUCGGAAUUACUGGGCGUAAAGGGCUCGUAGGCGGCCAACUAAGUCAGACGUGAAAUCCCUCGGCUUAACCGGGGAACUGCGUCUGAUACUGGAUGGCUUGAGUUUGGGAGAGGGAUGCGGAAUUCCAGGUGUAGCGGUGAAAUGCGUAGAUAUCUGGAGGAACACCGGUGGCGAAGGCGGCAUCCUGGACCAACACUGACGCUGAGGAGCGAAAGCCAGGGGAGCAAAGCGGGG